AUACGUAGGUGACAAGCGUUAUCCGGAUUUACUGGGCGUAAAGGGCGUGUAGGCGGUCUUGCAAGUCAGAAGUGAAAUUCCUGAGCUCAACUCGGGCGCUGCUUCUGAAACUGCAGGACUUGAGUGCUGGAGGGGAUAGCGGAAUUCCUAGUGGAGCGGUAAAAUGUGCAGAUAUUAGGAAGAACACCGGUGGCGAAGGCGGCUAACUGGGCAGGAACUGACGCCGAGGCGCGAAAGCGGGGGGAGCAAACAGGAUUAGAUUCCCCGGUAGUCCACGGCGUAAAAGAAGAAUACUAAGUGGAGGGGGGAACGAAUCCCUCCGUGCCGCAGGUAAAACCAAAAGUAUUCCCGCCGGGGAGUACGGCCGCAAGGUUGAAACUCAAAUGAAUUGACGGGG
rnacentral:rRNA from 1 species